GUGCGCACGCAGAGGCCGUCGCGGCGAACGCGCGCGCAACCACACCUUACUUACCUACACUAAACCAAAACAUUUACCAAAGAAACUAAACUUCACACAAUUUGAACACACAAUGACCAUACAGUGACAACGAACACUAUUUCGUACCGCAUUUAUUACAAUAUUAAUUCGAAUUAAAAUGAAUUCAAGGUUAUAGUUUAAGAUCUACAUUAAAUUAUAAUUGUUGUAAAAACAUUUUCCUGUUGUCCGAGUGAAUCAUAAGAAGUAUUAAAACACAGUGAAGAUGUCCGAGGAAGGGACUCAAGAUGUGAAGAAGCCCAGCUCAGCGCUGGGCGUCCGGCACGCGCAGUGCGUGAUGCUGUUCCUCGCGCUGGUGCUGGCGUUUGCGAUGCGCGUCAACAUGAGCAUGGCUAUCGUCGCCAUGACAGACAAGAGCAAGGAGGACUCGUUCGAGUGGAGCAUGCAGACGCAGUCA